rnacentral:lncRNA from 1 species
AGGAACUCUCAGACUCUGCCUGCUUCUGCCUCCAAAGUUUAGUUUCUUGGGAUUUGAACUCAGGGGUCAUGCAUUGCAGGCUUGUCUCAAACUCUCUAUGCAAAUGAGGAUGACCUUGAACUUCUUAUUCUCCUUCCUUUGCUUCCCAACGCUGGGAUCCCAGGUGAGUAAAUACUGCCAUCCUGGUUCAGCAAAUGCUGACGAUAGAUUUAACUUAUGACUUUCCACAUUCCAUGAACUAGGCAAGCAUUCCACCAGCUGAACUACAGAGUUAUUCUUUUCAAAUGGAGCGUAUUUAUAGUGCUUAUCUCCUGUAAUUGCAAUUUUCACCAUAUUAGUGUCACUUCCUUGCAUUCACAUGCUUCCUGCCCACCUUUGCACACAGCUUCUUUCAUCCUAACUCUGUUUUCUCUCUUGUUUGCUUAGGUUCCACUGUCCUAUUUUUCCCAGAAAAUCACAUUGCCACUAUUCUCUGGUUCCUUUAUUUUGAAAACAUCUGUGGUUCUUGGCAUACUAGAAUGAUGUCCUGACUAAACACUCCUGAAACACAGUUUCUUUUCAUUAAAAUUUUGUGCAUGUUUCUUC